UGCUCAUUGGAUAUUGACUGUGAUCGAUCCGGACAAUGACACUGUCUAUUACAUGGAUCCGUUAAAAAGACGCCUUGGGGAUAACGGAGAAUGGAAAGAUAUUGUUGACACUGCCAUAUCAAUGUUUAGAGCAGACCGCAACAAGAAAGGACGAGGUUUUCCUCAAUGGAAGAACAUGGCAGGUAUUCCAUCACAGCCAAACGACAAACAGUGUGGGUAUUUUGUGAUGAGAUAUAUGAGGGACAUCAUACAUGAUACAAACUUGGGUUUUGCAGAAAAG